UACAGAGACUGCAAGCGUUAUUCGGAUUCACUGGGCGUAAAGGGUGCGCAGGCGGCCGUGUGUGUGAGGCGUGAAAGCCCGGGGCUUAACCCCGGAAUUGCACCUCAAACUACAUGGCUAGAGCAUUGGAGAGGGUAGCGGAAUUCACGGUGUAGCAGUGAAAUGCGUAGAUAUCGUGAGGAACACCAGAGGCGAAGGCGGCUACCUGGACAAUUUGCUGACGCUCAGGCACGAAAGCGUGGGGAGCAAAAGGG
rnacentral:rRNA from 1 species